AGUCUACCUGCCCACUGAAUUUAUUUAAAUGGCCGCAGUAUCCUAACUGUGCAAAGGUAGCAUAAUCAUUAGUCUUUUAAUUGAAGGCUGGUAUGAAUGGUUGGACGAGAUAUUAACUGUUUCAUAAAAAUUUAUAAUAGAAUUUUAUUUUUUAGUCAAAAAGCUAAAAUAAAAUUAAAAGACGAGAAGACCCUAUAAAUCUUUAUAUAUAAACUAUUAGAAUUUUGUAGAUUUUUUUUAUUAUAAUAGUUGAUUAUAUUUUAUUGGGGUGAUAUUAAAAUUUAAUAAACUUUUAAUUGUUUAAAUCAUUAAUUUAUGAAUAAUUGAUCCGUUAAUAACGAUUAAAAAAAUAAGUUACUUUAGGGAUAACAGCGUAAUUUUUUUGGAGAGUUCAUAUCGAUAAAAAAGAUUGCGACCUCGAUGUUGGAUUAAGAUAUAAUUUUAGGUGUAGUCGCUUAAAUUUUAAGUCUGUUCGACUUUUAAAUUCUUACAU
rnacentral:rRNA from 1 species